rnacentral:lncRNA from 1 species
GUUUUUUUUUUUUUUUUUUUUCACAGAAGGUCUUAUUUCAUGUUACUCUACCUUUAUACAAAAUCUGUAAAAAUGUAGUAAAACAAGUAAAAAGUAAGUAGUUUACUUACAUUUGCAGCAGUAUAUUCUUACAGUAACACAAAAUAAGUUGUAAAUUCCUAAAGUAACACGAAACCAAUAAAAAAUGUAAGUAGUAAAGAAUAUUCCUAGAUUUUUUUUACAAGUGGCCUUGUUUCGUGUUACUCUAUCUUUGUACAAAAUCAGUGAAAAUGUAUAUUUUAGAAAUAAGAAGGAUAAGAAGGAUAAGAAGCCACCAGAGAGUGACAAGUGUCCUAGAAGAAAUUAAAUAGAAAGGUAAAUUUGUCUACAAGAGGAAAGAAAAAUAUGCACAUGCAAGUCACAUGUUAUUCCCCCCCCCCCCCAAUUUUUAAACGCCCGUAACUUUUUUAUACAUUAUUUGUUUUUUAAAAAAAUAUACCAUAAAAUCGAGCGUUUUUUUAUCUUUAAUAUGAGUACCAUAUUGUUAUAUUUUUCAAAAAAAAAAAAUUCAAAAACCCAGUUACAUAUUAUACAAUGGACAUGAUGUAAAACACAAUGUGAAGUAGAUCAAAAACACAAUCAAUGACAACAGAUAAAGAUACAAUGGACAACAUACUAAAACACAAUGAUCAUAACGUAUAACACAAUGGCGAUAACAUAUAACACAAUAAGUAUCAGACUAAAUAAAAACACAAUUGAUGACAACAGAUAAAAGACACAAUUAAUGAAAACAGAUAAAAGACACAAUGGAGAGCAGAUGAAGACACAAUGGAAAACAAACUAAAAACACAAUACACAACAAACUAAAACACAAUGAACAAAGAUAAUAAAAAAAUUGAACAAAUUAUUAAAACAUAAUGGACAACAUAUUAAAACACAGUGAAUAACAUAUUAAACACAAUGACCUGAACUAAUAACACAAUUUAUAGAAACCCAAAUAUAACACUAUCUUUAUUGUGUCAUAUAUUGUGUUAUAGGUUCUUAUAAAAACGUAAUGAAUAGAAUCCAAAUUAACAUUGUGUUAUAGGGUUUUAUAAUAACACAAUGGAAAUGAUGUAAAACACAGUAUAAAGUAGAUCAAAAAGACAAUCAAUGACAACAGAUAAAGAUACAAUGGACAACAUACUAAAACACAAUGAGCAUAACGUAUAACACAAUGACGAUAACAUAUAACACAAUCAGUAUCAGACUAAAUAAAAACACAAUUGAUGACAACAGAUAAAGUCACAAUUAAUGACAACAGAUAAAAGACACAAUGAAGAGCAGAUGAAGAUACAAUUGAAAACAAACUAAAACAUAAUACCAUCUUUAUAGAAACCCAAAUAUAACACCAUCUUUAUUGUGUCAUAUAUUGUGUUAUAGGUUCUUAUAAAAACGUAAUGAAUAGAAUCCAAAUUAACAUUGUGUUAUAGGGUUUUAUAAUAACACAAUGGAAAUGAUGUAAAACACAGUAUAAAGUAGAUCAAAAACACAAUCAAUGACAACAGAUAAAGAUACAAUGGACAACAUACUAAAACACAAUGACCAUAACGUAUAACACAAUGUCGAUAACAUAUAACACAAUCAGUAUCAGACUAAAUAAAAACACAAUUGAUGACAACAGAUAAAGACACAAUUAAUGACAACAGAUAAAAGACACAAUGGAGAGCAGAUGAAGAUACAAUUGAAAACAAACUAAAAACAUAAUACACAACAAACUAAAACACAAUGAACAAAGAUAAUAAAAAAAAAUUGAACAAAUUAUUAAAACAUAAUGAACAACGUAUCAAAACACAAUCAAUAACAUAUUGAACACAAUGACCUGAACUAAUAACACAAUUUAUAGAAACCCAAAUAUAACACCAUCUUCAUUAUGUCAUUUAUUGUGUUAUAGGUUCUUAUAGAAACGCAAUGGAUAGAACCCAAAUUAACAUUGUGUUAUAGGUUUUGAUAAUAACACAAUGUACAGAAACUCUACUGACCAAAACCAGUUAAAAGACACAAUGACCUAAACCUUUAACACAAUGCAAAAAAAAUUAGUAAAAAUGAAAUUUUUUAUUUUAGUUUUAUAUGAUAAUACGGUACUCAUAUUAAAGAUAAAAAAACGCUCGUUACUAUGAUGAAUUUUUUUAAAAAAAUAUCGUAUGAAAAAGUUAUGGAUGUUUUAAAUCGAUAGGGGAAUUGGCAUGCGACUUGCAUGUGGAGAGAGAAAAUACAUAAAUAUAGGAUUCCCUUUAUGCCCUUCUAUUAUCUUAUUUUCCCUACAACUAAUUUCAACCCUCCAAAUCUAAGAUCAAUGGACUAGAAUCCUUAUUACCCUUCUUAUUUAUUUUAUACUUUGUAUUUGAUCUUAACCAAAUAGUUUAUUACAGAUUGUUUUAUCUACCGUUUACAUUGUUUUUUUUUUCCAGAUUUGCAGCAGUAAAUUCGUAAGGUAAAAAACAGUGUAAACAGUAGCCUAAACAAUGAGUAAAAACUGCAAUAAUAAAAUAAAACUAAAACAUAAACAACUUAAAUGUUAGGCAUCGAAAGUCUAAAACAACACAAACAUGCUUUAAAUUUUCUUUUAACAAAAAGAAACUUCCAAUACAAUUUUUAGGUUUUUUUUUAUAGCAUUAUGAUAUUCAAAUAAACAAUGUAAUUAUGUAAACCAGUUACUAAGAAUGAGUAAGACUUGCAGAAAGA